CAGAUCUUCUCUCUCUCUUCUCUCUCUCUCUCUCUCUCGGUGACUCAAGAAACCCAUGGCAGAUCUAUCACCAGAUCCGUUUCAUGAGCAGAUCUGUGAGGAUUCCACCGCCUAUUCCCCUCCGCCUUGUUACGCUGCUUCAAUCACGGCUUCUCCUUCAUUCCAGGGCUUUGCUGAUUUCAGGCAAUCUAGGGUUUUGUAAGUGGAGAUUCUGGCGAUAUAGGGCUUAAACAAGCUUUAUCUGGCAACUUGAUGUCGAAGGCACCAAGGGAUCCACAUAUUUGAACAAGGGAUCCACAGAUUUGCUGGAGAAUGGCCGGAAUCAAGUGACUGUCUGUCCAUGA